CUCAGGAAUGAAGGAGCUGAAGUGCAGCAGGGGCUGCUGCUUACAUUUCCUGACAUGACCAACCCACGAGCAGCCAAUCCUCCAGAAACAAAAUUCAAAGGAUGGUGGAAUGGAGAAAAUCAACAACGCUAAAAUGUGGAAAGGUUUGACGAAGCAGAGCAUUGAAGAGCAGAAUUGGACAUAGGAGGGUUCCAUCACAGACCACAAGUUGUAGAAAAGGAACUGGAGGGACUGCUGAUCCGCACCACCCCUUAUGUUCUUGGUUGGGGGCACAAUGGGGUGCAGAGUGCAAGCAUGGACCAACGGACACUGGUAUUGAAGAAUUUCCAGUACCAGGUACACAGAGCGUGCACACCCACAAUGAAUAGGGAUCAGCACUUGAAGAACCUGGCUACAUGUUUAAUAAAACAAAGUUAUAAUAAGGCAGCUUUUCAAACUUAAUGUUGCAUCAACAAGUUAAAGGGGCAUUGUUUACAUGAAAUCUAGUCAAUUUGUCUGGGAUUUUCAAAGGAGCCUAAUGGAGCUGGGCACUUACAAUCCCAGCCUUAAAUAACAGAGUUAAUACACCUGACCUGAAUGCUCUUGACCACAUGUGGGUUUAGUCACAUCUUCCUUUUUAUCGUUUUAAUGUCUCUUCUCCCAUUCCUAAUUGCUGUGUGAAAGUUUUUAACUGUUUAUGUGACU